UAGGUGUAUCGCCACGACUGCGACUGACUGUCGGUGCCGUAGGAAGCCGUGAAGCGAGCCACCUGGGAAGUACGGCCGCAAGGCUGAAACUUAAAGGAAUUGGCGGGGGAGCACCACAACGGGUGGAGCUUGCGGUUUAAUUGGAUUCAACGCCGGAAAUCUUACCGGGACCGACAGCAAUAUGAAGGCCAGGCUGAAGACUUUGCUUGAUUAGCUGAGAGGAGGUGCAUGGCAAA
rnacentral:rRNA from 1 species